UAUAAGGGAUUUUGAGAUUUUACUUGUAACGUUUGACCACUCGUCUUAUUCAAAAAAUUUUAAAAUUAUUAUUUAUUUUAUUUGUGACUUACUUUAUUAUCUACCGUACUUUAAACACAACUUUUCGUUUUUUAUAUUUACAAAAAAAAUUUGAAUAAGACGAGUGGUCAAACGUUGUAAGUGAAAACUCAAAAUCCCUUAUA
rfam:Oryza sativa (indica cultivar-group) chromosome 5, whole genome shotgun sequence.